rnacentral:rRNA from 1 species
CCUACGGGAGGCAGCAGUAAGGAAUAUUGGUCAAUGGACGAAAGUCUGAACCAGCCAUGCCGCGUGGAGGAUGAAGGCCCUCUGGGUUGUAAACUUCUUUUAUAUGGGACGAAAAAAGGCUUUUCUAAGUCGUCUGACGGUACCAUUUGAAUAAGCACCGGCUAACUCCGUGCCAGCAGCCGCGGUAAU